UCGCGUCCCUCGUUUUGCAAACUGCCUCGAGUGCGGCAGCGCGUCCGACAGCGUGUGAAAAAUUUGCAACCACGACUUCUUUGUAUUCUUUAUCGCGCUAUGUAAUUAUCCAGUUUAUUUCAGUUUCAGCAAUUAACGUUGCUACGAACAAAGAGGUGUUUACCCGUGCUAAUCCUCAAAACAACAAUUAAUAGAUUUUUUUUUUUUCAUGUUGUUUCAUUUAUCUUACAAUCGAAAAUUAUUCAAAGCGCUUUCAAUGUCGCUGUUGUGAAUUAAAUUAAUUAAAUUAUACGAAAGGAAUGUCAAAAUUAACGUACGCGACAAAAGAUGCUUCCGAAAUCAUAAAGUGAAGUUAAUUUGGAAGAUUACCGUUUGAAUAGCUUCCGUGAACUUUUUAAACAUUAUGAUCAUGUUCAAUCUCGCAUUAGUGAAUCGUACGUUAUAUUUAUGUGCCAUUUCAAUUUUGAUACAACAUCCUGUCGGAGGACGCGCCUUAUUCCGUCACGGAAGAUCAAGCGCGGUUCAUCUCUACGAAGAUCAUUAAACCCAUUUAUGACUAUGAAUAUCACGAGACAAUACAACGACGUGACGUGAGAUGUUAAAAAUACUCCUAACGGAAGAAUUAAAGGGGUCGAUUUCUAAAGUUGCUUCACUAACACAAUCGUGACGGCAGGAAACGGAUCGAUAACAUCGAUCUUUACAAAUUCAUCGGCUGCGCUGCUGCCGGCGAAAUCGCCACGUCCCUUUUGGCGAGCAUCAGGCCGGAUGACGACCAUGAUGACGACCAUCAAUGGAAUCGAGAUUUUGACGUGAACAAAGCAACGUAGUUCAGCUUCCAAUGGGAUGCUAAAACUUCAAAGAGCGAUUGAACUUUCUACAAUCUAGAAUCGAUUCGUAACCGAAAGGUAUAGGAAGCGGACAAACGAGGCAAGUGACGCAAACGAGGAGGAAGAGAUAAAGCGGACAAAUAAUUCUUUGUUUUUUUAUUUGCCUACAAACAAAUAUUUUUAACGAGGCAAACAUUGAAAAAGCGAUGUCAACAAAUUAAUAACAGAUUGAUAUGGUCGUCACUGAAUGUCCCAAUUUUAUCUGUAGAAUUCUUCACGUGUGCCUCAUGCAGGCGAUUUCACAUUGGUGAAGAUCAUGUAACUGGCAACAGAUUAUCAUGAUUGAUUCAAACGAAAGGUUUCGGGACAUGUAUGAUCGUACGUAAGAAAAGAUAUUUGAUAAUAAUGAUGACAAGUCUACUUUUAAAUAUCUAUUUAAAAAGAAAUAUUUAGAUUAUAGCAAACCUGUGUCUUUCUCUAUUCUUAACACGAAGAAUUUUUAUUUUACGAUGUUUACGUCAUUUUUUAAAAUAAGAAGUU
rnacentral:lncRNA from 1 species